AGAGUUUGAUCAUGGCUCAGGACGAACGCUGGCGGCGUGCUUAACACAUGCAAGUCGAACGGAAAGGCCCUGCUUUUGUGGGGUGCUCGAGUGGCGAACGGGUGAGUAACACGUGAGUAACCUGCCCUUGACUUUGGGAUAACUUCAGGAAACUGGGGCUAAUACCGGAUAGGAGCUCCUGCUGCAUGGUGGGGGUUGGAAAGUUUCGGCGGUUGGGGAUGGACUCGCGGCUUAUCAGCUUGUUGGUGGGGUAGUGGCUUACCAAGGCUUUGACGGGUAGCCGGCCUGAGAGGGUGACCGGCCACAUUGGGACUGAGAUACGGCCCAGACUCCUACGGGAGGCAGCAGUGGGGAAUAUUGCACAAUGGGCGGAAGCCUGAUGCAGCAACGCCGCGUGCGGGAUGACGGCCUUCGGGUUGUAAACCGCUUUCGCCUGUGACGAAGCGUGAGUGACGGUAAUGGGUAAAGAAGCACCGGCUAACUACGUGCCAGCAGCCGCGGUGAUACGUAGGGUGCGAGCGUUGUCCGGAUUUAUUGGGCGUAAAGGGCUCGUAGGUGGUUGAUCGCGUCGGAAGUGUAAUCUUGGGGCUUAACCCUGAGCGUGCUUUCGAUACGGGUUGACUUGAGGAAGGUAGGGGAGAAUGGAAUUCCUGGUGGAGCGGUG
rnacentral:rRNA from 1 species